GACGAACCGUGCGAACGUUGUUCGGAAUCACUGGGCUUAAAGGGCGCGUAGGCGGGCUGCCAAGUCUGGGGUGAAAUCCCACGGCUCAACCGUGGAACUGCCUCGGAUACUGGCGGCCUCGAGGGAGGUAGGGGCGUGCGGAACUGUGGGUGGAGCGGUGAAAUGCGUUGAUAUCCACAGGAACUCCGGUGGCGAAGGCGGCGCGCUGGACCUUUUCUGACGCUGAGGCGCGAAAGCCAGGGGAGCAAACGGG
rnacentral:rRNA from 1 species